rnacentral:misc_RNA from 1 species
AACGCACCUUGCACUUUAGGAGUCAAUUCUAAAGUAUACCUGUUUGAGUAUCAUUUACAUAUAUCCAAUUUAUUGGGAAUUGAGGGUUCAGGGAGCAAACUGCUGCUGCCAGUCUCUUUAAAUGUAGAGGGUUCAAGGAUAAGCGCGUCUUUAUCUUGAAUGAGGAUAUUUACUCUUGUAGUAAAGCAAUCAUAAAAGACAAGAAAAGCGAUAUUCAUUACAUUGGGCUCUACAACUUAUUGUGUGUAUACACAAUAGCAACGUACAAUUGUGAUCUCAAAUCAGGCAAGACUACCCGCUGAACUUAA